UGGCAGCUCUCGGCUUUGCAGAAAA
rnacentral:misc_RNA from 1 species